AACGAACGCUGGCGGCAUGCCUAACACAUGCAAGUCGAACGAAGCCUUCGGGCUUAGUGGCGCACGGGUGCGUAACGCGUGGGAAUCUGCCCUUGGGUUCGGAAUAACAGUUAGAAAUGACUGCUAAUACCGGAUGAUGUCUUCGGACCAAAGAUUUAUCGCCCAAGGAUGAGCCCGCGUAGGAUUAGGUAGUUGGUGGGGUAAUGGCCCACCAAGCCGACGAUCCUUAGCCGGUCUGAGAGGAUGAUCAGCCACACUGGGACUGAGACACGGCCCAGACUCCUACGGGAGGCAGCAGUGGGGAAUAUUGGACAAUGGGCGAAAGCCUGAUCCAGCAAUGCCGCGUGAGUGAUGAAGGCCUUAGGGUUGUAAAGCUCUUUUACCAGGGAUGAUAAUGACAGUACCUGGAGAAUAAGCUCCGGCUAACUUCGUGCCAGCCGCCGCAGUAA
rnacentral:rRNA from 1 species